ACUCUUGCAGAGAAGGGUGGAGUGUGCCGAAUAUUGACUGAUCCGACCUCCUGUUGCACAUACAUACUAAACAAUACUGGCCCCACUGGUAAGGUCACAAUAGCUAUAAAAAAGCUUGAAGAUCUGUCAAUAGAACUGAAAAAGAACUCAGGUAUAAAUAAUCCAUGGGAUCAAUACUUUGGGUGGUUCACAAG